GGCCCUACGGGGUGCAGCAGGCGCGAAAACUUUACAAUGCUGGCAACAGCGAUAAGGGAACCUCGAGUGCCAGGUUACAAAUCUGGCUGUCGAGAUGCCUAAAAAGCAUUUCAUAGCAAGGGCCGGGCAAGACCGGUGCCAGCCGCCGCGGUAACACCGGCGGCUCGAGUGGUAACCGUUAUUAUUGGGUCUAAAGGGUCUGUAGCCGGCCGGAUAAGUCUCUUGAGAAAUCUGGCAGCUUAACUGUCAGGCUUUCAGGAGAUACUGUCUGGCUCGAGGCCGGGAGAGGUGAGAGGUACUUCAGGGGUAGGGGUGAAAUCUUGUAAUCCUUGAAGGACCACCAGUGGCGAAGGCGUCUCACCAGAACGGACCUGACGGCAAGGGACGAAAGCUAGGGGCACGAACCGGAUUAGAUACCCGGGUAGUCCUAGCCGUAAACGAUACUCGCUAGGUGUCGGCCACGGUGCGACCGUUGUCGGUGCCGUAGGGAAGCCG
rnacentral:rRNA from 1 species